rnacentral:rRNA from 1 species
AAAGCUGUCUCACAUAUAAUUAGUAGAAAUUAAUUUAAAGGUGCAAAAGCCUUUAUAAAUCAAAAAGACGAGAAGACCCUGUUGAGCUUUAAUUUAAACCAAGUAUAGAACAUAUAUUAAUAUAAUUUAUUUACUUGAUAAAAAUUUUAAUUGGGGCGAUUAAGGAACAUUCAAAAGCUUCCUGACUAACACAAAAAUAUUCUAUAAAUUAAAUCGAUCCAGCACUGCUGAUCAACAAAAUGAGUUACCACAGGGAUAACAGCAUAAUUCUUUUUGAGAGCUCAUAUCGAAAAAAGAGAUUGUGACCUCGAUGUUGGACUAGGGUAACCGGAAGGUGUAGCCGCUUUCCCGCUUGGUCUGUUCGACCAAUAAUUCCCUACGU